UUGGGGGCGAAAUGACCUCAAGCUAUUCUCAAACUUUAAAUGGGUGAGAAGCCGGGCUUACUUGAAUGAAGCCAUAACGGCAUGUUGAAAUGAAUGAUUACCUAGUGGGCCAUUUUUGGUAAGCAGAACUGGCGCUGUGGGAUGAACCAAACGUUGAGUUAUGGCGCCUGAAUGAACGCAAAUCUGAUCCCAUGAAGGGUGUUGGUUGCUCUAGACAGCAGGACAGUGGCCAUGGAAGCUGGAAUCUGCUAAGGAGUGCGUAACAGCUCACCUGCCGAAGCAACCAGCCCUGAAAAUGGAUGGCGCUUUAGCGUUCUGCCUAUACUCAACCGCUAGAAUGGAGCUGGCACUUCGGUGCAGAGCCCGUAUAUUCUAGUGAGUAAGGAGGUGUGAUGGUAAGCGUUGAAGGGUCUGGGUGUAAACCUGCCUGGAGCUGCCAUCGGCACAGAUCUUGGUGGUAGUAGCAAAUACUCAAGUGAGAUCCUUGAGGGCUGACGUGGAGAAGGGUUCCAUGUGAACAGCAAUUGCACAUGGGUGAGUCGUUCCUAAGCCAAAGGCGAAAGCCACGCUCAUAAACUUGUGGCCACAUGAAUCUUAUAAAAAAUAUACCAUGCCAGAAACAGCACCGAAUGGAUAGGCUAUCCUCAGGUGCUCGUGGAAGCAAUAAUGGUUAUUUUUUCUUUCGAGUGAGCCUGCAAGGAGUUUGGCGAAAGGGAAUCCGGUACUCAUUCCGGAACCUGGACAUGAGGAGUAGUGUUGCUUUAUGCAUCACAUAGCCGCAAGGCAUUACCAUCCUGGAGAAUCCAACCAGAGAGCCGGGAAGAGUUGUCUUUUCUGCUUAAGGGGAAGAGGGCCUUGUGAACUGGGUCGGUCAGAGAGAGGGUCUUUUCCCCGAAUAGCACCGCGGUUCUUGCGGAGUCCAGCUCCUCUGGUAUGGAACUUGAAAAUCCAGGGGUAAGAUGAAAUACCUUCAUGCCAGUUCGUACCCAUAUCCGCAUCUGGUCUCCAAGGUGAACAGCCUCUUGCCGA
rnacentral:rRNA from 1 species